CCACGGUCAUAGUGAGCCAUGCCAGAGCAAGCUGCUGGCCCAAACCAUUACCCGGCCUCUGUGUCCGAAGCUACUGACACUAAAGUGGGUCGUGUAGCU
rnacentral:snoRNA from 1 species